rnacentral:rRNA from 1 species
GGAUGCGAUCAUACCAGCACUAAAGCACCGGAUCCCAUCAGAACUCCGAAGUUAAGUGUGCUUGGGCGAGAAUAGUACUAGGAUGGGUGACCUCCUGGGAAGUCCUCGUGUUGCAUUCC